UCAGUUGUGACCGGAGCUGCCUUGCAUUAGGAAGCUAUCAGGCCGGUAAGCAAGGGCAACAGGAUCCAGACUCGAAGCUCAUGUUUGUGUGUUGAAAUAGUCCAAGGACACGCUGCAAUGAUUGGCAGCCCAGCCCGCCUCUCACGUCGAGCAAGUUCCGUUUGUGGGGUGGGCACAGAUUUUGAUGAACUCAGAGAUGACAUGACCCUUUCUGCAGUGAUGAUUAGUAAUACCACAAGCAGGUUGAGCUAUAGUUCUCAGAUAAUGCCUGGCAAAAAGCUGAAGGAUUAGUUCCUGUAGGAGGAUUCUGUCUUCUGUGUGCUCAAGGCUGAUGCUGAAAGGCACUGCCUCAUCAUUUAAUCAGCUACCUGUGUCAUCCAUUAAAAUGUGCCUAUCUGGGUGUUAUGCCAAAGACAGAUCAUCUGUGAGGUCUUAAACGCUGCUAAAUGAUAAAUA